AAUUAUUUAUUGCUUAAGGCAAUUCGAAUUGAUAUAUUAAAAAUAUCGCAAGGACAAUUCUCGUAUCGAACUCCAAUAAAAUUUCAACUUAGUGGCAAGGCCGUUACCAUAUACACACGCUGUCUCUGGAUUUGUCAUUUUCCGGUCGUCAGCGUACGCGCGAGUUUUGGCGAGUGUGCUAAGAAAAAGAUUGCUAAAAUCGUUAAAUAGUGCUAUUUAAUUAAGUUUUAAUUGACAAUAGAAUCACAUUCACACACCACCAAUCAAAAUGGCAGACAAACAAGUCGAUAGCGAAAUGAACGGCGAAGAUUUCACCAAGGAUGUUACCACCAAUGAUGUGGCGAGCUCUGAAAAUGGUGAUUCGACCGCCGCUGCCGGUGCUGCAAAUGGCAGUUCUGAAAAUGCAGCCGCUGCGGGUAACCAGCGUGAUGACGACAGGAAACUAUUUGUUGGCGGCCUCAGUUGGGAAACGACUGAGAAGGAACUGCGCGAUCAUUUUGGCAAGUUCGGUGAGAUCGAGAGCAUUAAUGUAAAAACAGAUCCUCAAACGGGUAGAUCGCGUGGCUUUGCCUUCAUUGUGUUCACCAACACAGAGGCGAUUGAGCAAGUGAGUGCCGCUGAGGAGCACAUCAUCAACAGCAAGAAGGUUGAUCCCAAAAAGGCAAAGGCGCGCCAUGGCAAGAUAUUUGUGGGUGGCCUGACUACAGAGAUAAGCGAUGAGGAAAUCAAAACCUACUUCAGUCAAUUUGGCAAUAUUGUUGAGGUGGAGAUGCCAUUUGACAAGCAAAAGUCACACCGCAAGGGCUUCUGUUUCAUUACCUUCGAUUCAGAGCAGGUGGUUACCGAUUUGCUGAAAACGCCCAAACAGAAAAUCUCUGGCAAGGAAGUUGAUGUUAAGCGCGCAACGCCAAAACCGGAGAAUCAAAUGAUGGCCAUGCGUGGCGGUGCGCGAGGUGGCAUGCGAGGUGGACGCGGUGGAUACGGACGUGGUGGUUAUUCCCAUCAAUGGGAUGGCCAGGGUUCGUAUUCGGGCUAUGGCGGCUAUGGUGGUUAUGGUUCCGGUGGCUUUGCCGAUUACUAUGCCGGUGGCUACUAUAAUGGAUAUGACUAUGGUUAUGACUAUGGUUAUGGCGGCGGCUUUGAUGGUGGCUUUGGCGGUAAUGGCUACGGCAGCGGCGGCGGCGCUGGCGGGCGCGGUGCCGGAGGUCCGCGCGGCGGUCCCAAAGGCGGCGGCGGCGGCGGAUUUAAUGGUGGCAAACAGCGCGGCACUGGACGCCAGCCACGACACCAGCCCUACUAGGCGGGGGCCGUAUUGGAGUCCGCGACAUCUACUUAUAACUGCAAACUAUUUGAAUUUAACUUAGUUUAGUUUGUUAUGCAUACUACAAAACCACACAGACACCUACAUGCACACACACACACACACACCCACACACAGACACACACAACAACGCCAAUAACGCGACUGCAGGGCAGACCUCAUAUUCUCAUGGCAUAAGGCACGUCUAGCGGAGCAGAUAUACAACCACAAUACACACUUGUUGUGUGGCACCAUUCCAACAACAACAAAAACAAAAACAACAACCAACAACCAACACCACAGCGGAAGCGGCAACUACAACCUGGCCAAGAAACAACGCAUCUUAUAUAUAUAUAAGUAUAUAUACACUAACACACACAUACACACCCACACACACAGAGAGACGGAAAGAAAUAUAUACAACAUAGAGAGUUAGGCUUGGAGAAAUGUAAUUUUUUUUAGCAAGUGGCUAAUUUUUCAUAGCCACACGCUCGUUAAGCCAGCAUUGCCCACCAAGAGAAACCCCACACUGUACCACAAUAUUAUGUUACACUCACUUUGUGUGUGUGUGUGUGUGUGUGUGUGUAUGUGUGGGGCUAAACUAAUUUGUGUUUUUCUAAUGUAGUCUCAUACAUUAUGCGAGGUAAUUGUUUAACAUGUAAGCAGGGUCAGGCAUACAGGAGAUAUACCCACACACAACACACACUCACUCACGCAUGCAUGCAUGCAUACAAACAUAAAGAGACACACUCACACAUGCACACACCCAUACGAAAUACAGAGAAAACGGCAACACAGUUUAAUAGUAACAGUAAAUACAUUAUAUAAAAUACAAUAGUCGUUAAGUAUUUGUUUAAACUUAA